CAAUAGCGUAUAUUAAAGUUGCUGCAGUUAAAAAGCUCGUAGUUGGAUCUCAGGAGAACGUUGUGGUUCGCCACUUGGUGUGACUACAGCUUACUCCUAAUCAGUUGUCAGUUGCUUUUCGUGUUCUUUACCGGAUGCGUAAAGUGCGCAACACGUUUACUUUGAACAAAUUAGAGUGCUCAAAGCAGGCCUCGUGUCUGAAUAUUUUUGCAUGGAAUAAUGGAAUAGGACUUCGUUUCUAUUUUGUUGGUUUUCGGUUACGAAGUAAUGAUUAAAAGAGACAGACGGGGGCAUCUGUAUGCCGGUGUUAGAGGUGAAAUUCGGUGAUCGCCGGCAGACAAACAACUGCGAAAGCAUUUGCCAAGGAUGUUUUCAUUAAUCAAGAACGAAAGUCAGAGGUU
rnacentral:rRNA from 1 species